rnacentral:tRNA from 1 species
GGAGGGAUGGCCGAGUGGUUUAUGGCAGUGGUCUUGAAAACCACCGUGUCGGUUUGCCGGCACCGUGGGUUCGAAUCCCACUCCCUCCGCCA